ensembl:misc_RNA Metazoa_SRP Metazoan signal recognition particle RNA
GCCGGGCACAGUGGCGCGUGCCUGCUCGGGAGGCUGAGGUGGGAGGAUCACUUGAGCCCAGGAGUCCUGGGCUCUAGUGCGCUAUGCUGAUCGGGUAUCUGCACUAAGUUUGGCAUCAAUAUGGUGACCUCCCGGGAGCGGGGGACCACCAGGUUGCCUAAGGAGGGGUGAACCGGCCCAGGUCGGAAACAGAGCAGGUCAAAACUCCCGUGCUGAUCAGUAGUGGGAUCGUGCCUGUGAAUAGACACUGCAUUCCAGCCUGGGCAACAUAGCGAGACCCUGUCUGUU